UCUUUAUGAUGGGAGAGUCUAGUGACUUCAUGAAGAAAGGAGCUGGCUUUGAACAGUAUGGCUCUGCACCAGCCAACACCAAGCAUGGCCUGAAGCCACCAAAAUCACAAAGAGACAAGAAAGGGUUCUGUCUCAAAGCUUCAGGGGCUCACAGCUCGGCUGACACUUUGAUUUUGGCUUUCUAGCCUGGAGCCCUGUAAGUCAACAAACUGCUACUGUCUGUGAGGCUUUUUAUUUUCUUUUUUUUUUCUUUGCUGUGACCUAGGAAACAGACAUGCUGAGAACCGGUAAAUUGCUGUUUGCUCAGCAAUGAACUGUUGGCUGCUCGUACAAAGACCCGGUGCCACACAGAGCUUUUGUAUGCAAAUGGGACCUCACCUUUCCAAACUGUGAAUAAAGAAGCUGAAGAGAAGGGAAAAUGGGGACAUGUGUCCCUCUUCCAUAAGAACUCCCACCGGAGAGAAAGGGGUAACAGGCAAAGGCACCUGCCACUUGGCCCCACCACCAAAAACCACCAGAGAGUUUUGCCAUUUUAACACAUGGCCCUUGCCAUGGUUAAGUAAACUCGAAAACUCUUCACUGGAGGCCAAAUUUGCCGGGCUGCUCACAAUAAAUUGGCCCCAGGCAGAUACCCAGCUGCGGUCCAUCACAACCUGGAACGGGACAUUAACUUCUGAGAGGCCCCUGCGGUUCGUAGAGUCCCUAGCUUCCUCGACCAUCAGGAAGAAUCUUGGAAACCUAAGUCAGAGCAGGGCUCUGGCAUGAGCAUCCUCCGAGAUCCGCCAAGCAUGGAUAAUGGCUUUGGAGACCCUUGGAGCUCCAUCUAUAUUCAGCUCAUAUUUUAUAAGAUGCUCCUGGCUGGGGCCUGAGCAAGUUACAGCCACACAAGGGCCCAGCAGGGCAGUGGCAGCCUUACGUCUCCCCUACCCCCACAGCCCAGCUGUGGUGAGCACCUACAGCAAGUGUGCAGUGCAGGCAGAACCACAAACUGCUCCUCAGUCUGGGCUCUUGGUGCGGUAACUAUCUCAUGGAAGAAACGGAGACAGCACACACGUUAGGAAUAGGUACCCUGUGUGGGACACGCUAGCUUCCUUUAGUGACAUGCAACCAGCAGCCCCACUACAACGUGUUGCUGGGGGGGUCUGUAAUGAGGAUGGAAGGAUUCUUCACAUACAAAAAGAAAUAAAUAAUACAUCAUUUUAAAAAAACAGCAAAUACAACCUUUCUGGUAUUCACAGCCCAACCUCCUGCAGAAUCCACUGACUGACUGCAAGCUCAUCUUACCCAUACUUAUGUUGUCGCAUCUGUAGAGAAAGGCACAUUGGUUUUACUAGAACAGAGGUUGCCUACAACACCUGUGUUAGAAGUGUUCUCAUUCCCAACUGAAAACAAGAAAACAUCAAACAAGCAAACAAAACAGCCCUAGAUUUGUUGAAAGGAAUGUGGUGAUGGUUAGUUUAAAAUGCUAACUUGCCACAAAAAAGAAUCCUCUGACAAGGAAAUGUGUCAGCUCAAGAAUUAUCUAAAUCAUGUUGGUCUGCAGGAAUGUCUGUGAGGGAAUGUCUUAAUUGUCAAUGGAUGAGGGAGGACCCAGCCCAGCCCACUGUUGGCAACACCAUUCCCUAGCCAGGCGAUCUUAAACUACACAAAGAAGCAAUCAAGCAGGCAGCAUGGGUGUGCCCCCUUUCUGUGCUCUUGACUGUGUGUGAUGUGACCCACUGCCUGAGUUCCUGCCUUGACUUGCUUCCUAUGACGACUGGGACCUGACAUUGUAAGCCAAAUAAACGUUUCCCUUCCCUA